rnacentral:rRNA from 1 species
AACGCUAGCUACAGGCUUAACACAUGCAAGUUGAGGGGCAGCAUGGUCUUAGCUUGCUAAGGCCGAUGGCGACCGGCGCACGGGUGAGUAACACGUAUCCCACCUGCCGUCUACUCUUGGACAGCCUUCUGAAAGGAAGAUUAAUACAAGAUGGCAUCAUGAGUCCGCAUGUUCACAUGAUUAAAGGUAUUCCGGUAGACGAUGGGGAUGCGUUCCAUUAGAUAGUAGGCGGGGUAACGGCCCACCUAGUCUUCGAUGGAUAGGGGUUCUGAGAGGAAGGUCCCCCACAUUGGAACUGAGACACGGUCCAAACUCCUACGGGAGGCAGCAGUGAGGAAUAUUGGUCAAUGGGCGAGAGCCUGAACCAGCCAAGUAGCGUGAAGGAUGACUGCCCUAUGGGUUGUAAACUUCUUUUAUAAAGGAAUAAAGUCGGGUAUGUAUACCCGUUUGCAUGUACUUUAUGAAUAAGGAUCGGCUAACUCCGUGCCAGCAGCCGCGGUAAUACGGAGGAUCCGAGCGUUAUCCGGAUUUAUUGGGUUUAAAGGGAGCGUAGAUGGAUGUUUAAGUCAGUUGUGAAAGUUUGCGGCUCAACCGUAAAAUUGCAGUUGAUACUGGAUAUCUUGAGUGCAGUUGAGGCAGGCGGAAUUCGUGGUGUAGCGGUGAAAUGCUUAGAUAUCACGAAGAACUCCGAUUG